UCUCCGUAGGUGAACCUGCGGAGGGAUCAUUACAGAGUUCAUGCCCUACGGGUAUAUCUCCACCCUAUGUUAUCGUUACCUUUGUUGCUUUGGCGGGCCGUCAGGCCUCGGUCAGACUACCGGCUCCGGCUGGUAAGUGCCCGCCAGAGGAUAUCAAACCUUGAAUUUAAUGUCGUCUGAGUACUAUAUAAUAGUUAAAACUUUCAACAACGGAUCUCUUGGUUCUG
rnacentral:misc_RNA from 1 species